rnacentral:lncRNA from 1 species
CCGGCUUGCAGGUAAAGGGUUACAGAUUCUAGGAAGUAUUAAAUGCAAACUUUAAAGGAUUUUAUUUUCAUCUACAGUCACAUGAUGCCUUAAUACCCAAUGACACUAACUACAGUGUCUCAUUAAGAGGUCAUGCAAACUCCCAAGCUAAACAAGGCAUUCUUACAUAUUUAACAUUCAAAUGCAGAAGCCAAGCUAAGCCAUGGAAGAUUGUAAUCAGGAAAAGCUACGCUUCCUGAUCCACACAAAAGCUACAGAGGAGGUGCCCCACCACAGUCUGGUCUAUGCACGCACAGAAAGCAGGAGAAUAUUGACUACUUUGGCAAUGGGGUUUUCUGGUCUUUGGGUACAGCUUUCCAUCUCCCACACACAUGUUGGGGAACUUCAGGAAAAGCAGUAAGUAUUGAGGAAGCCUCAUAUUAACACCUGACCUCACUGAUACCUGCUCCAGUCCUGGCUCUCCAGGACUGUGCUCCUGCUGCUCUGAUGCAGACACCAGCAAGACACCAGCCAGACUCCCCUGGAUUGCAACCCCCAUGCCACCCCAUAGAUGUGACAGGAGUGUUCACACUGUGGGUACAAGAAUUGCAAACAGUAAACCAAAUAUAUGUGUCAUUUUUAGCAAGGGUUGAUUACACUGAUUACUGAUGUAAGAUGAGCUACCCAAAUGUAUAUCAACUAUAGGAUAAGGGCCCACCCAUUCAUUCUACUCUUCAUCAGUGGAACAGUUUUAGUAUCAUAAUUCUGAAGCAGGACAAAACUUGGUUCCACCCUCUCAAGAAAAACUCAUUCUCAAAAGGAAGAUGCACUCUACCAAAAGCAGGAGGAAGAAGCAGCAGCCACUGCAAUUCACUUGAUUGAGGAGAACCUGCUCCCAAGGCUGUGUUUCCUAGCACUGAGGAUUAAAAAUGUCAUCU